rnacentral:rRNA from 1 species
AUUGAACGCUGGCGGCAUGCUUUACACAUGCAAGUCGAACGGCAGCGCGGGGCAACCUGGCGGCGAGUGGCGAACGGGUGAGUAAUAUAUCGGAACGUACCCAGAAGUGGGGGAUAACGUAGCGAAAGUUACGCUAAUACCGCAUACGAUCUACGGAUGAAAGUGGGGGACCUUCGGGCCUCAUGCUUUUGGAGCGGCCGAUAUCUGAUUAGCUAGUUGGUGAGGUAAAGGCUCACCAAGCGACGAUCAGUAGCUGGUCUGAGAGGACGACCAGCCACACUGGGACUGAGACACGGCCCAGGGACUCCUACGGGAGGCGAGCAGUGGGGAAGUUUU